UCUACAGCUGAUACCACCUUAAACACGCCCAAUCUCAUCUGAUGUCGAAAACUAAGUAGGGUCGGGCCUAGUUAGUACUUGGCUGAGAGACAGAGAAGACAGAGAGGCAGAGAGA
rfam:Erinaceus europaeus unplaced genomic scaffold scaffold00319, whole genome shotgun sequence